AAGAAAGGGACCCGGUUUUAUACGGAGCACGUGGAAGAUCUACGGUGAAUCUUCAAAGGACAGAUCCAGAAAUCAUAUUAUCUUCUGAAUCCCUCCCUAGCCUACUGACCAGACAAAAAACUUUAGGCCAAUUAGGCCUAUGAGCCUAUUUAUAAUGUGAAUAUUUUCACUUUUCAGACCUAAAAUCCCCUCAUUUAGACUGCACAGAAAUGGGGUUUUCUGUAUCUUUUUUCAUUUAUGGGUAGAGUCUUGUCUCUCGUUGUUCAUUCUUUUUCCUUUUGUAGUUAUCAAUGUUUCUGAAUUGGGUUAGUACAGGAAUGGGAUGCGUGGGAAAGACUCAACCUCUAUAGCAGUAGUAAUAAUGUAGCUGAGUGUUUGCAAUUUGUCUCUAUUCAGCCUCCCCUGGUUUGAAUGGGGGAAAGAAAAUGUUAAUUUCUGAAUGUUUGCAUAAGAGAAUAAAAUCACAAAAGUUGUGAGAGGCAAUCAAAUGUUGAAAUUGGCAAGGACUGCAACAAAUGUUGAAGGAAAUAAGUGGAGGCAACUCUUAGUGUUCCUUCACGCUUGGAGAGGUUGAUUUAUAUGAAAUGGGCAAAGGCAGAAGUUGGCAUUCAAGUGUCAGUAAAUGCUACAAGUCCAUUUAUCUGUGUUUUCAACAUUAUGGAAUAAUAUGGAAUAUGAUUGAGCCAUGCAAAACUUAUAUGAAGGUAGUCAAGGGGAUAUUGAGGAACUGUUGGUAUGUCGAUGUCUGCGCUUUCAAAGUAUAGGGUUUCUAAUUCUGUGCAACAGAAGCAUUGCAGGGUUCAUUGUUUUAGUGUGUUCUGAAUUUUGAAGGGUACCUUGACUAAAUCAAAUUAGUGUUUUAUUUCUCUGCAGAUGGCCGCUUCCAUAUUAUUGAUAUAUAAAUAUUCUAUCUUCCUCCAAAUGGAAGCUCUCUCAUAUGACAUCAAUUAUUUUGACUGCAGAUAGUCUUAUUUCCUAUCCAAGGAUUUCAAUUAAAGAAAAAGAAAAAUAAGGGUGUAAAGGUGGGAAAGUAUUUGUUGUCAAUACACCUAGGCUAAACAAGGCUUAACUGCAUAUGUUGGUUAAUAAGAUGAAGUGCAUACAUAGGCUGGCAUCAAUGUGUUCCGGCUCCUCAUUUUGUACUUGCUUUUAACCUGCCCAUCCAGCUUCGUUCAACAAAUGUUUACCUGUGUUAAAAUUUCUUUCAAACUACAUUUCGAGAGCCAUUUUUGUAGUACAUCAAUCUCUUUUUUCAUUGUAAUAGCUUCAAAUUUAUUGUUUCUUGA